rnacentral:rRNA from 1 species
UACGUAGGGUGCAGGCGUUAAUCGGAAUUACUGGGCGUAAAGCGUGCGCAGGCGGUCUAUUAAGACAGGUGUGAAAUCCCCGGGCUUAACCUGGGAACUGCGCUUGUAACUGAUAGGCUUGAGUGUGGCAGAGGGGGGUGGAAUUCCGGGUGUAGCAGUGAAAUGCGUAGAUAUCUGGAGGAACACCGAUGGCGAAGGCAGCCCCCUGGGCUAACACUGACGCUCAUGCACGAAAGCGUGGGGAGCAAACAGG